rnacentral:misc_RNA from 1 species
GUGCAAAGUAAGAUUUUUGGUUCUGGAGUUAAAAUAAUGGAAACAACCUUCUUGUAAUAAAAGGGAAGACUGCACUCACCUAAUCCUCUCUGGAGUCAGCAGUGCAGGAAGCUACAUGCACUAAGACACCCUUUUCACUUUUGCUACUUUUGCUUUUCUUGGUUGCCUAUUGCAAAUCAUAUCCAAGUGGCUUCUCAAGAUUGCAUCUAUCUUAUAAGAGCAGGGUUGGCUAAGUUAAUGUUAGUCUAGUUCUGGAUUUUUUUCAAUUUGGUACUUUUCCUUUUCUUGAUUGUGUGGAAAACCUCAAAUCAGCCUACAUUUAUUAUGAUAUCAAAAUGGCUUCUAAGAAAAAAAAAGAAAAAAGGCUUCUCAAUAUCAUCUCGUUUCUAAAAACCAGUUAUUCUAGAUCAAUCAGUUGGCUAUUUUCACUUUUCUUUGAUUAGAAGAAGGUGCCUACCCUCAUCAUAGCAGGCUGGAUUUUCCAGUUUACCAGACAACUUGUAGGGCUCACCAUUUUGAUAGUUCUUUACUUGAUUCUGUUGUUAAAAAAAAAAAGUCAGUUCACUGUAUGAAAUUUGCUGUGUAAACAAGGUAUGCUGCAUAGAUUUAUUAAUUUUCUUUUUCAGCAAAUCACUAUCUAAUCUUACACAGAUGUCAAUCCUGGGCAUGGAAUUUUAGGUUUUGGUGUUCUUUUACCUUUUUUUUUCUGACAUUACAUUUUAUUUGUUGCAGCACUAUUACUGUGAUGAC